AUUGAACGCUGGCGGCAUGCCUUACACAUGCAAGUCGAACGGUAACAGAUCUUCGGAUGCUGACGAGUGGCGAACGGGUGAGUAAUGCAUCGGAACGUGCCCAGUUGUGGGGGAUAACUGCCCGAAAGAGCAGCUAAUACCGCAUACGACCUGAGAGUGAAAGCGGGGGAUCGCAAGACCUCGCGCAAUUGGAGCGGCCGAUGUCAGAUUAGGUAGUUGGUGGGGUAAAGGCCUACCAAGCCGACGAUCUGUAGUUGGUCUGAGAGGACGACCAUACACACUGGGACUGAGACACGGCCCAGACUCAUCGCGGAGGCAGCAGUGGGGAAUUUUGACCAAUGGGCGCAAGCCUGAUCCAGCAAUGCCGCGUGCAGGAAGAAGGCCUUCGGGUUGUAAACUGCUUUUGUCAGGGAAGAAAUCCUCUGGGUUAAUACCCCGGGGGGAUGACGGUACCUGAAGAAUAAGCACCGGCUAACUACGUGCCAGCCGCCGCCGUAAUAC
rnacentral:rRNA from 1 species